rnacentral:lncRNA from 1 species
ACAAUUGUUCUUCGUGUUUUUGAUAAAAACGAGUUUUUGAUCGAGUUUUAGAGCAAAAAGAGGUGAAAAACGUUGUUUUUCACGUAAUCUGCGAAUGGUUUACGGCCGGUUGAAGGGUUCACGGCAGAAGGAGGGUUCUCAGCAGUAAUCAGUUUGCGGCUAAGGUUUCUCGGCGNAGGGUUUACGGCCAUUGAAGGGUUCUCAGCCGUAAUCAGUUUGCGGCUAGGGUUUCUCGGCGACGACCAUAAUCACAAAUUAGGGUUUCUUAGACGUUUAC